GUUUUAUUAAAGGGACUGACUGCCCAACCCCAUGAGAUGGCUGGAGCAAGAAUGAUCAUUCCCAUUUUACAGAUAGAGAAACCAAGGCUCAGAGAAACCUACACUGAUGCCCCUGCAAAGACUUCACUUGGAGUUCCAGUCCUGCCAAGGCAGCCCAACCCUCCUCUGGCCAGCUGGGAUCCAUGAGAAGAUUGUCUUUGCUUGCAACUCAAAGGAAAAACACAGACAACAUAAAUACAAUGGGAUCUGAGGAGCAGGCUCUUUGUUCUGGGCCAAGUCAAACAAGUCUGCUCCCCUUCCCCAUGACAGACCUUCUGGUACUUGAAGAAAGCAGCCUCUUCCCACUUGGAGGCUUCUGUUCUCCA